GGCUCAGAACGAACGCUGGCAGCGUGGAUUAGGCAUGCAAGUCGAACGGGAUCCGGGGGAUAGCAAUAUUCCUGGUGAGAGUGGCGGAUUGGGGAGGAACACGUGAGCAACCUGCCCUGGAGAUGUGGAAAACCGUUGGAAACGACGGCUAAUACAGAAUGUGGCGUCCGAUGGCAUCAUCGGAACGCCGAAGGGGGCCGCAAGGCUCCCGCUCCGGGAUGGGCUCGCGCACCAUCAGCUUGUUGGCGGGGUAACGGCCCACUAAGGCUUACGGUUAGCUGGUCUGAGAGGAUGACCAGCCCCACUGGGACUGAGAUACUGCCCAGACUCCUACGGGAGGCUGCAGUCGAGGAUCAUUCGCAAUGGGCGAAAGCCUGACGAUGCGACGCUGCGUGGAGGAUGAAGGCCUUCGGGUUGUAAACUCCUGUCAUGGGGGAAGAGGCGAGGGGACCCAACACGUCCCUUAGUUGACUGUACCCCAAGAGGAAUGGGCGGCUAACUCUGUGCCAGCAGCUGC
rnacentral:rRNA from 1 species